rnacentral:rRNA from 1 species
GACGAACGCUGGCGGCGUGCUUAACACAUGCAAGUCGAACGGAAAGGCCCUGCUUUUGUGGGGUGCUCGAGUGGCGAACGGGUGAGUAACACGUGAGUAACCUGUCCUUGACUUUGGGAUAACUUCAGGCAACUGGGGCUAAUACCGGAUAGGAGCUCCUGCUGCAUGGUGGGGGUUGGAAAGUUUCGGCGGUUGGGGAUGGACUCGCGGCUUAUCAGCUUGUUGGUGUGGUAGUGGCUUACCAAGGCUUUGACGGGUAGCCGGCCUGAGAGGGUGACCGGCCACAUUGGGACUGUGAUGCGGCCCAGACUCCUACGGGAGGCAGUAGUGGCGUAUAUUGCACAAUGGGCUGACGCCUGAGGCAGCAACGCCGCGUGCGGGAUGACGUCCUUCGGUUUGUAAACCGCUUUCGCCUGUUACGAAGCGUGAGUGACGGUAAUGGGUAAAGAAGCACCGGCUAACUACGUG